AGCUUUAUGAAAGGGGAGGAAAUAGGUAUGGUGCCAAGAUAACAGUUUGUGGCGAUCAUGUAGAUCCAGUCACAAUCAUUCAGACAAUACUUACGGAUGCAGAGAUUUUGUCCUACAAAAUAGAAAAGAACCCUUGUGAUGAAGCCUUUAACAACCAUAUUCAGAAUGAAAGACCUGCCGAGGACUUGAAAAUUCUCUAUUCUAAGAUCCCUUAUGUUGUGAAGGUCGUUAACCUGUGUUGUUCGGAACGCCUUAACAGAAUAAAGAGAGAGUUGAACAAAACUGACGGAAUAAAUUGCGUGACAGUAGAUCAUGAUCAUUGGAGGAUAGCAGUUUCUGGUGAUCAUGUAGAUCCAGCCACACUGGUAAAGACAAUAGAAAAGUAUGCACAGAUUAAGCCCCACAGAAAUGCCAAGGACAAACCUGUUGCUGCAGCAGCACAAGGAUUCAAAAACAACAAAAACUUCCAG